UACAGGAUGCAACAGUGCGAGACCUGCUCACACCUUCGCCGAACGCUGCAGCAGCUCCGCUACCACAAACCACCAACAAUGCUGACUUGGGGGUGAAAGGUUGAGUGAGACGACUCUGCUACUCACCAGGAGUCCCCAAACCCAUGGAUGUUAUCAGAUGUCCUUUGACCUCCAUGCAAAGUAACUUUGGGGACACAACUCACUCUCCCAGCAGCGCCCUUACCUGGAUGAAGACGGAUUAGAGAUCAUUUGCAUCUGAAAGGCACAGAUAGAAAUGUUUGCAAGUUUCAAUCUUUCCUUCAGUAUGACCUUGCAGCCAUCUGUGGUGUUGAGGUGUGGAGGUAGCAGCAUUUUCUCUCCAAAUUAGCAGUAGAUGAACAUGGGCGGGGUCCGAAUCGUGGGAGACACACAGCGAGGCGCUGCGCCUCGGCUCAGAUGAAUAAAGUCAAAUUCUGAGAGAGAUCAAAGGAGAAAUCCA